rnacentral:rRNA from 1 species
UACGGAGGGUGCGAGCGUUGUCCGGAAUCACUGGGCGUAAAGGGCGCGUAGGCGGCCUGGUAAGUAGGGGGUGAAAUCCUGCGGCUUAACCGCAGGGCUGCCUUCUAAACUGUCAGGCUCGAGCACGGUAGAGGCAGAUGGAAUUCCCGGUGUAGCGGUGGAAUGCGUAGAGAUCGGGAAGAACACCGGUGGCGAAGGCGGCGCUCUGGACCGAGACUGACGCUGAGGCGCGAAAGCGUGGGGAGCAAACAGG